rnacentral:rRNA from 1 species
GACGAACGCUGGCGGCGUGCUUAACACAUGCAAGUCGAACGGAAAGGCCCUGCUUUUGUGGGGUGCUCGAGUGGCGAACGGGUGAGUAACACGUGAGUAACCUGCCCUCGACUUUGGGAUAACUUCAGGAAACUGGGGCUAAUACCGGAUAGGAGCUCCUGCUGCAUGGUGGGGGUUGGAAAGUUUCGGCGGUUGGGGAUGGACUCGCGGCUUAUCAGCUUGUUGGUGGGGUAGUGGCUUACCAAGGCUUUGACGGGUAGCCGGCCUGAGAGGGUGACCGGCCACAUUGGGACCGAGAUACGGCCCAGACUCCUACGGGAGGCAGCAGUGGGGAAUAUUGCACAAUGGGCGGAAGCCUGAUGCAGCAACGCCGCGUGCGGGAUGACGGCCUUCGGGUUGUAAACCGCUUUCGCCUGUGACGAAGCGUGAGUGACGGUAAUGGGUAAAGAAGCACCGGCUAACUACGUG